GCAUAUCAAUUAAGCGGAGGAAAAGAAACUAACAAGGAUUCCCCUAGUAGCGGCGAGCGAAGCGGGAAAAGCUCAAAUUUGUAAUCUGGCGUCUUCGACGUCCGAGUUGUAAUCUCGAGAAGUGUUUUCCGUGAUAGACCGCAUACAAGUCUCUUGGAACAGAGCGUCAUAGUGGUGAGAACCCAGUACACGAUGCGGAUGCCUAUUACUUUGUGAUACACUUUCGAAGAGUCGAGUUGUUUGGGAAUGCAGCUCAAAUUGGGUGGUAAAUUCCAUCUAAAGCUAAAUAUUGGCGAGAGACCGAUAGCGAACAAGUACCGUGAGGGAAAGAUGAAAAGCACUUUGGAAAGAGAGUUAACAGUACGUGAAAUUGUUGGAAGGGAAACACAUGCAGUGAUACUUGCUAUUCGGGGCAACUCGAUUGGCAGGCCCGCAUCAGUUUUUCGGGGCGGAAAAGCGUAGAGAGAAGGUAGCAAUUUCGGUUGUGUUAUAGCUCUUUACUGGAUUCGCCCUGGGGGACUGAGGAACGCAGCGUGCUUUUAGCAAUUCCUUCGGGAAUUCCACGCUUAGGAUGCGGGUUUAUGGCUGUAUAUGACCCGUCUUGAAAACACGGACC
rnacentral:rRNA from 1 species